rnacentral:rRNA from 1 species
AUGUAUGAGGAUGAUGAUGAUGACUCCCAAGAUGAUGACAAGGUUGCUGCGGCUGCUGAUGGGUCCUACGGCGUUGAUACAAAUUGGUACGCCGAUAGUGGGGCCACAAACCACAUCACCAAUGAGCUCGAGAAGGUAACCAUGAAGGAGAAAUACCGCGGCAAGGAUCAAAUCCACGCUGCUAGCGGAGAAGGUAUGAGUAUACGUCACUUUGGUCACUCAAUAUUUCAUACCCCUAGACGUAAACUUCAUCUUAAGAAAAUUUUGCAUGUCCCUAGUGCACACAAAAAUCUUCUUUCCGUUCAUCGAAUUGCCAUUGAUAAUCAUGUUUUUCUCGAGUUUCACCCUAAUUUCUUUUUGAUCAAGGAUCAGGCAACGAGGGAAAUUCUCCAUCGAGGUAGAUGUGUUCGAGGGCUCUACCCGUUGAUUCCGGAGUUUAGAAGAUUCAAUAAACAAGCUUGUGGUGCUAUCAAGCUUACGUCCACACGAUGGCACGAUCGUUUAGGACAUGCCUCUUUUUAUUUAGUUGAAAAGUUUCUUAGGAAAAAUAAGCUCCCGUUUGUUGGUGAGCGUCAUGUUGAAACUAUUUGUGAUUCAUGUCAACGAGAUAAAAGUCAUCAAUUGCCAUAUCCUAUUUCUACUAGUGUUUCUACCAAACCUUUACAACUCAUUUUUUUCCGAUGUUUGGGGUCCAGCCCCCAACUCUGUUGGUAG